AAGUCGUAACAAGGUUUCCGUAGGUGAACCUGCGGAAGGAUCAUUAUUGUAUAACACGGGUGCAAGCUGUCGCUGGCCUUUGAAAAGGUUGUGCACGCUUAAGCACUCUUAAACAUCCAUUUUACCCCUUUGUGCAUCACCGCGUGGGUCCCCUUUAUAAAGAGGGCCUGCGUUUUUACAUAAAUCUUUAUACAGUAUAGAAUGUUUAUCUUUUUUUGCAAUUAUAUGCAAUCAAUACAACUUUCAACAACGGAUCUCUUGGCUCUCGCAUCGAUGAAGAACGCAGCGAAAUGCGAUACGUAAUGUGAAUUGCAGAAUUCAGUGAAUCAUCGAAUCUUUGAACGCACCUUGCGCCCCUUGGCAUUCCGAGGGGCACACCUGUUUGAGUGUCGUGAAAUUCUCAAAAACCUGUUCUUUAAUAAGAAAAGGAUUUUUGGACUUGGAGGUUUAAUGCUGGCUUUUGUCUUGAAAGCAAGCUCCUCUGAAAUAGAUUAGUAGGGUCUGCUUUGCUGAUUCUUAAUGUGAUAAGAUGCUUCUACAUUUUGGAUUUGGCACUGUAUUUUAGAUGCCUGCUUCUAACUGUCUUAUUAGACAAUGAUGGUGUCUCUGGUCACUGCUAUUUAUUUAUAUUGGCAGGAGGCUCGACCCACAUAAAAGAAAUAACCUUGACCUCAAAUCAGGUGAGACUACCUGCUGAACUUAAGCAUAUCAAUAAGCAGAGGAAAAGAAACUAACAAGGAUUCCCCUAGUAACUGCGAGUGAAGCGGGAAAAGCUCAAAUUUAAAAUCUGACGGUUCUGGCCGUCUGAGU
rnacentral:rRNA from 1 species